rnacentral:lncRNA from 1 species
CUGGAUGUUUCGGGAGAAUGUGAGAGGAGAGGGGAGCAGGCCCUGUGCUGGGUGCAGACCCGUCUGAGUGCGCUGAGAAGACGUCAGGUGAAGGCCGGGGUAGCCGGGUGUCUUCUUUCUUCUGUGUCCACCUUCAUUUUGUCCUCUUCCUCUUUUUGCCCAGUGUCUUCUGAGUGGGUGGAGCCAGGCGUGCCCACCAGAUGCGGGUAGCAUGUGCUAGGCCAGGACGGCCCCCAGGCUCAAGUCGGCCUCCUCCUGGGCAGAGGACUCCCCGAGAGGGAGGCAACGUGUCAGGACGGUGUAUGUGGAGAGAGGGUCGAGGCUCGGUGCCUGAGCACGGGCAGGAGGACAGUGGCCUCGAUGCCAGAGACGGGAGGGAGAGACGUGACGAUGAGGCUGCAUAAGAAGAGAGCUGACUGUAGCUGAGUGUAUCAGCCACUCACCGAG